GAUGAACGCUGGCGGCGUGCCUAAUACAUGCAAGUCGAGCGAACAGACGAGGAGCUUGCUUCUCUGACGUUAGCGGCGGACGGGUGAGUAACACGUGGAUAACCUACCUAUAAGACUGGGAUAACUUCGGGAAACCGGAGCUAAUACCGGAUAAUAUAUUGAACCGCAUGGUUCAAUAGUGAAAGACGGUUUUGCUGUCACUUAUAGAUGGAUCCGCGCCGCAUUAGCUAGUUGGUAAGGUAACGGCUUACCAAGGCAACGAUGCGUAGCCGACCUGAGAGGGUGAUCGGCCACACUGGAACUGAGACACGGUCCAGACUCCUACGGGAGGCAGCAGUAGGGAAUCUUCCGCAAUGGGCGAAAGCCUGACGGAGCAACGCCGUGUGAGUGGUGAAGGUCUUCGGAUCGUAAAACUCUGUUAUUAGGGAAGAACAAAUGUGUAAGUAACUAUGCACGUCUUGACGGUACCUAAUCAGAAAGCCACGGCUAACUACGUG
rnacentral:rRNA from 1 species